ensembl:snRNA U6 U6 spliceosomal RNA
GUGCCCUUCGGCAGCAUGUAUACAAAAAUUGUAACGAUACAGAGAUUAGCAUGGCCUCUGCACAAGGAUGACUCGCAAAUUCAUGAAGCUUUCCAUAAAUAU